CACUUCCUUCUCCUGAACAGCUGCAGGACGUGGUGGCCUGGCCAGAAUGCCUUAUUUAGCUGCAGAUGUCCUCAGGGUCCAAGGAGAAGCCAUAGGAACACCGUCUAGUUCAGGGUUUCUGAACUCCGGUCCUAGGGACCCACCUACCGGUCAGGAUUUGGGAAUAUCCCACAGAAUGAAUACCUGAGUUUUAUCAUCUCUAUAACAAUCUUCUAUUUUGGUCUUGGACGUCAGAUGACCUGAAGAGUUGAUGUCCAAGAUGGAUUUGUUAUCAACGCCUGAAUUUCAAGAAGCGUGCUGGUCAAUGGCAAUGAUAUGGGAGCGUAUUAACCAUGCAAAUACAUCAGAUACUCCCCCUUCGAACUGGGGACUUCAAAAAGAAGACUGUGGUUUUCAAUACUGGAUUCUUCGUUCUGAAAGUUAUUUUGUGGUUUGGGACACUAAGCGCUCGUACUGGAAAGUGAAAACUCCAUUUGGACCAUUGUUGUUCCUUAUUGGCCCUAGGUUCAUUGACAGGUCCGGGAAAGGAUUGCAAGUACCACCGCUAUGUUCAGUCACUCAGUCUGAUACAGAUGUAUUAAUGCCUGCAGCCCCGACAAAGGUGAAGAAAAGAAUGCUAAAGAUUGCCCGUUUUGUUUCAGCAUGAGGCUCUAACAGUUCUGAGUAUUUAAAAUCUCAAUUAUCCAUAUAACAAUGAAGAUCUUUCAAUGCACAAAAAUGGUCUACAAUGUAUAGGACCAUCAGAGUACGGUGUCUUACACACAUGUUCGCUUCCUUAGAUGUGCAAAUCUUUAUUUGUGAUUUUAACCAUUUUUGUCAAAAAUACUGUGGCCAGAUGUUACUGUAAAGUGUAUCUAAAACUACUAAAAAUACUGUACAUUUCUUUUUAGUUGUUUCUUCGAGGACUUUUACGGGUUUGCGACAUUUUUUUCCUUCAGCAUGCUAUGAGCAUGGCAUGUAUUUGUGGCAUUUUAUUUCAUGCAGUUCUCUAUAGAAUUGGAAAAAACUUGAG